rnacentral:rRNA from 1 species
UACGUAGGGUGCAAGCGUUGUCCGGAAUUAUUGGGCGUAAAGAGCUCGUAGGCGGUCUGUCACGUCGGCUGUGAAAACCCGGGGCUCAACCCCGGGCCUGCAGUCGAUACGGGCAGACUAGAGUGCGGUAGGGGAGACUGGAAUUCCUGGUGUAGCGGUGAAAUGCGCAGAUAUCAGGAGGAACACCGGUGGCGAAGGCGGCUCACUGGCUCAUUACUGACGCUCAGGCGCGAUAGCGUGGGGAUCAAACAGG